GCCAGACUCCUACGGGAGGCAGCAGUGGGGAAUAUUGCACAAUGGGGGGAACCCUGAUGCAGCGACGCCGCGUGAGUGAAGAAGUAUUUCGGUAUGUAAAGCUCUAUCAGCAGGGAAGAAAAUGACGGUACCUGAUUAAGAAGCCCCGGCUAACUAAGUGCCAGCAGCCGCGGUAAUACGUAGGGGGCAAGCGUUAUCCGGAUUUACUGGGUGUAAAGGGAGCGUAGACGGCAGCGCAAGUCUGAAGUGAAAUGCCGGGGCUUAACCCCGGAACUGCUUUGGAAACUGUAUGGCUGGAGUGCUGGAGAGGUAAGCGGAAUUCCUAGUGUAGCGGUGAAAUGCGUAGAUAUUAGGAGGAACACCAGUGGCGAAGGCGGCUUACUGGACAGUAACUGACGUUGAGGCUCGAAAGCGUGGGGAGCAAACAGGAUUAGAUACCCCGGUAC
rnacentral:rRNA from 1 species